GUCACAUGGCUCAGUGGCUGGAGCAUUUCCCUGAAUUGCAAGGACCUGGGUUCAACUCCCAGCGAGACA